rnacentral:tRNA from 1 species
GAAGGUAUAGCUCAGUGGCAGAGCGCGUGCUUAGCCUGCAUGAGGUCCUGAGUUCAAUCCCCAGUACCUCCA